rnacentral:rRNA from 1 species
GACGUAGGGCGCGAGCGUUGUCCGGAUUUAUUGGGCGUAAAGCGCACGUAGUCGGCUUUGCAAGUCGGGUGUGAAAUCCCCGGGCUCAACCUGGGAACUGCAUCCGAGACUGCAUUGCUAGAGUAUGGGAGAGGGAAGCGGAAUUUCUGGUGUAGCAGUGAAAUGCGUAGAUAUCAGAAGGAACAUCAGUGGCGAAGGCGGCUUCCUGGACCAAUACUGACGAUCAGGUGCGAAAGCGUGGGGAGCAAACAGG